rnacentral:tRNA from 2 species
AGCGGGGUGGGGUAGCCAGGUUAUCCCGCGGGGCUCAUAACCCCGAGAUCGGUGGUUCAAAUCCACCCCCCGCUACCA